rnacentral:rRNA from 1 species
UACAGAGGUCCCAAGCGUUGUUCGGAUUUACUGGGCGUAAAGCGUGCGUAGACGGUUUCGUAAGUCGGGUGUGAAAUCCCCGGGCUCAACCUGGGAAUUGCAUUCGAAACUGCGAGGCUAGGGUACGGAAGAGGGAAGCGGAAUUUCUGGUGUAGCGGUGAAAUGCGUAGAUAUCAGAAGGAACAUCAGUGGCGAAAGCGGCUUCCUGGUCCAGUACCGACGUUCAGGCACGAAAGCGUGAGGAGCAAACAGG